CUCAUUAAACCAGCCAUAGUUUAUUUGAUGGUCUCUUUUGUCUUUUUUUUACCUACUUGGAUAACCGUGGUAAUUCUAGAGCUAAUACAUGCGCAAGGUCCCGAGCGCGGGGGGCAGGGCUUCACGGCCCUGUCCUCGCAUGCGCAGAGGGAUGUAUUUAUUAGGUUAAACAACCAGCAUUUUUUCAUUUCUGGUGAUUCAUAGUAACUCUUUCGGAUCGCAUUCAUG
rnacentral:rRNA from 1 species